UACAGAGGUGGCAAGCGUUGUUCGGAAUUACUGGGCGUAAAGGGCGCGUAGGCGGCCCGUCAAGUCCCGUGUGAAAGCCCCCGGCUCAACCGGGGAACUGCACGGGAAACUAGCAGGCUUGAGUUCGGGAGAGGGAAGCGGAAUUCCUGGUGUAGCGGUGAAAUGCGCAGAAUAUCAGGAGGAACACCGGUGGCGAAGGCGGGUCUCUGGGCCGAUGACUGACGCUGGAGGAGCGAAAGCGUGGGGAGCGAACGGG
rnacentral:rRNA from 1 species